rnacentral:lncRNA from 1 species
CCGCCCCCACUCAGAGCCUCCCGUGAUGCACCGGGAGCGGAGCACCCGCCCCGCUGGUUUUCCGUGGCUGCUUCUCCAGCCGCUCGCAGGACUCCACGCUUCUGGCCUGGCUUACGCACCAGGCAGUAUUUCUGCAGCGUGCCCGGUAGAGGCAGCCUAGAUCUAGAUCUGGACCAGACUCACGACCGCCCAUUGCUGAGGACCACCGCGACCCAGAUGCAGGAACCUGUGGCCCAUUUUUCAGGGGAAGCCGAUCCGGGAAACCAGGGUGGUCGACCCUCUGUUCUGCGGACAACCCCUCGGCCAAGCCCGGCUCCUGACAGCAGCCAAGACAGCAGGACCCUGGGCCACCUCCGACCUCCGACCAGCUUCUAGUGGCUCUUGGAGCUCCCCAGGCUCUCAUCAAGUCGGCGGGACUAAGGUGAGAAGUCUUCAGUUUCCUGGACAGCAGCAGCCUUUGUGACUUAGUCUCCUAUUUUGUUUAAUCUCCCCAGAGUGGUCACCACUUUUUGAUACAGAUUCAAUUUUUGGAGUCCUCAGCAAAGAAAACUCCUGAACAGAGGCAAGAUUCCCUCACUUCCUUCUCAAGAAAAGACUCAAGAAUGACGGGAAUUCAUUUCCCCCUAGGAACCCACACUGAGGAAAGAAGACUCGAUGCAAAAAAAAAAAAGAUCGCUUCAUCCAUUAUCUGUGUAAAAAAAUUACUUUCCAUUUUCUGAGACUCUCUUCAAAUAGAUUUCUUUCUUCACCCCUUAAAUGCUCAUUCUCACUAAGCAAGCUGUGUAGGUGGAGACCUGUGUGUAGUGGCUGGAUGGGGCAGAAAAUGUUCUCGAUGAUAAGCAGCUCCUGUCUGGGAUGUCAUCUCACACUGUCCUCAUGGCUUAGGCCCAUGUGUCAUGCAAGAGAG